CAUUUAGGACUAGAUGUUGGAAUUAGACAGAAAAAAGUUAGACACAAAAAAUUGUGUCUAAUUCCAACAUCUAGUCCUAAAUG
ensembl:miRNA MIR4759 microRNA 4759